UUGUCAUGAUGAUCCAGAAAGGUUUCGCUAAUUUCUCUGAAAUUUUGUGACGAUUCCUCUUGGCAGACUGAACAA